UCAUGCUGUCCAGCAGGGUCUUUUUUCUUUAGUUAGUCUGGGUAAUGGGUAGCCAGAGAGACACACAUUUUACUGUGUGGGCAUUGAUUUCCUCCAGUCGUGCAGAGGGGUUUUACGAAACUAGCUGGGCCAUAUCAGGCAGUAUACUCCCAGCGUUGAGAAGGUGCUCGACGUGAGAAUUGGAACACGUGAGACCGCGCUGUACAUGAGUGUUCCACUUGAUGGAAUCAGCAAUUAUUUUGUGGGCCUAGUGUUGGCAUUGGUUUGAAGUCGGCGUUAUCCAGUAUCGUUGUCCAGUGAUAUACCUAUGUUUCUGGGGCUGUUAGUGUUGUGUUGUGUAUGGAGGCCUGGUAGUGCCAAGGGUGACGUAUCGUUCAAUUGAAUUGUGCUGAGUAGCCAAACGUAGCGUUGAUUUUGAGUUUCAGUAAAUUAACAUUUGAUCAAAAAGGAAUUUGAGAAAUUUUGCAUUGACAAAACAUAAUUUACUACUGUUUAACUUUUUCUAUAGUUAGCGGAAUUUGCUACUAUUUUGAACCAUUUUGUAAUUCAUUUAUUACCAGUAACAUUUUCAGCCUGAACUGACAUAUCUGUUGCAUUGACUAUUAAAUUGUCUUGACAGUUAUACGUUAUUUUGACUGUCAAUAUUGCCAGGUUUAUUAUAUCAAUUUAUAUUUUCUUCCUCGGUGGGUGUGUGUGCGUGUGUGUGGAUGUGAAAGUGUGAUUUCUUUGUGUUUUUUAAACAUCUUUAUAUUUCUUUUCUUAUUGCUAAAUAAAUUUUCUUUUUAU